rnacentral:lncRNA from 1 species
AGAGAAUUGCGUUAUACGGAGUUGUACUGCUACCAGCCAAGAAUGCCAAUGACUCCCAGUAACCAUUAGAAGCUAGAAGGGGGGAAGAAGAAAUCUCACUAGAGCCUUCAGAGAGAAUAUGGCCCUGCUGAAACAUUGAUUUCAGACUUAAAGCCUCCAAAACACAUCAUGAAAUUUGACCUCUUCAGCCGUGCAUGGUUAACACUAUAACCCAUCUCCUUGAGAAGAACCCCUGAUGAAAAAGAAAUCCUCUCCAAAUCAAUAUCUUCAUUCAUCACUACACUACAUGUUCUAUUUUCCUUCCUCCAUUUCUCAGAGGAAGGAGUUCUAUUACUUGCCAUUGAUCUUAAAAUUAUAGUUAUCCUCCACUGUGCUGCCAUCCAUAAUUUCAUGUCCUUCAUUUGUGGCUUUGUUUUCAAUGGCUAUAAGCAUUUUCAAUUUUGUCCCAUUAUAACAAGGCUGUCACUCAAUACUGUCUGGAAUCAUUCAGCAUAUACCCUCUCCUUCCCUUCGUUGCUGAAUUUCUCAAAAGAGUAUUACCUUCUUU